CCACCGCGCCCGGCCCCUUUCUCUUUUUUAUAAAAAACCUCAGUAACCAUUUCAGUCCUCUUUCUAGCAAACUCUUCCCCACAGUAUUGCAACCAUCGCAGGGACAUUUAUGAAGGCCGUAGUUCUCAGGGGUUUGGGUCUUUUCCACCUCAAGGCCUUGCGUGUUUCUUUGUUCCGGGGCUGGGGUGGCCCAAGCUGGAAUUGCCUGAAGAUGUAGGCACGUUCAGGGUAUUGAGCUUGUGGAGUUUUAGGAAGGGGUGGCUUCCCUGGGCUUCCCAUUCACAACCCUCUCCCACGUCCACGCAGGGUUCCAUGACUGCCCCCUCCACCUCCUGGAAGGCACAGGAUAGUCCCACCUCCUGGUCUUUGGCUUUAUGGGUCCUUCUGUGCAGGACGCUCUGCCCUCAUACCUCAGGGAGCCACCCAGCUUUCAGCUCCUGUCUCUUUCUCAUAGGACUUCUUUUAUUAGCCUUAUCAGUGUUUAUCAAACUUAUUCUUUUAAAAUAAACCGUGGGUGCGCAAACACUACAUCCGGUGUGGCGGUCGGGUCUUCCAGGAGUUUGGAGAACGCUGGUUGGAGUAGUCUGCGUGUAGUCAUGUCGGCGUCGGUAGUGUCGGUCAUCUCCCGGUUCUUAGAAGAGUACUUGAGCUCCACUCCGCAGCGUCUGAAGCUGCUGGAUGCGUACCUCCUGUAUAUACUGCUGACGGGGGCGCUGCAAUUCGGUUACUGUCUCCUGGUGGGGACCUUCCCCUUCAACUCUUUUCUCUCGGGCUUCAUCUCUUGUGUGGGGAGUUUCAUCCCAGCGGUUUGCCUGAGAAUACAGAUCAACCCACAGAACAAAGCAGAUUUCCAAGGCAUCUCCCCGGAGCGAGCCUUUGCUGAUUUUCUCUUUGCCAACACCAUCCUGCACCUUGUUGUCAUGAACUUUGUUGGCUGAAUCAUUUCCAUUUACUUGAGGAGUGGGAGACUGGAAGAAUGUUCACUUUUGAUUUUCCUGGAUAAGAGUUGUUGAGACGGCAGCUCGUUGGACAUGUGGAUUUUCUUCAGAUUUGGGCUUACAACCGACUCUGUUUUGGUAUGCAAGUGGAAAGCGCAGAGUUCUCUUGCUCUGUGUCAGAACUACUUUGUAAUGAAUGUUUAUUGACCCCACCUCUGCGUUCUAUUAAGUGCAACCUUUUGCCUCCCAAAUUAAAAAACUCCAUGCCACUCCUC